CUCACGUACACACAUCUUCUCCCAAUCUCUCACGUUUCUCCUUCCUCUCCCAAUCUCUCACGUCUCUUAUUCCUCUCCAUCGCCAAAACGCCUCAAGAUCCUCUCCUCUCAUGUAUGCAUGGCCUCUCGCUCAGGCAUCCCCUUUCACGUGCAGGUCAUCUCUCCAUCGUGUAUCAAUGAUCUCCUUCUUCUGCUGCCUUCCCCAGCCAUCUCCCUCUCUCUAUUCGGCCCUCUUAUCGCCGUCAACCAUGUUGCAGGUUAGCACGACAUCCUCUGUCUUAUUUCUACAUCAUAUCCCUCGCCAAUCCCGAUUCUAUGCAUUGGCUCCCCUCUCCUCCCUUGAUCUCUCUUUAAUUGGAAAAGAUAGCAACAUGGUUCUCUGCUCUCUCAUUAAUGGCUUCAAUCCAACUCCGUUGCCGCAGAAAUUUCUAUAGAUCCGUAUUUUAUUUUUGAUUUUUUUACCAUUUUUUCAAUAGUUCAGAUUUGAAUCGUAAGUUAUGAUCGACUCAACUCGCUGCCCCGUCCGCUCGCCUUCAUCUGUCUACUUCCAUAAUCCGUCUUGCUUCGCUGCCGCCGCAAUCAAACACAACCGGCUUCCUGCUCCUCGAUCAAACAUCUCUCUCUUGAUGGCUUAAUUCCAGCCAAUGUUCCAAUAGUGGUUUUCCCCUAAUCGACGACUCAUCUCAAUCUAUUGGUGUUGCAUCAAUGCAAUCUUUCCAAGUUUUCACCUCGGAUAGGUUCUCUUUAUGUGCAGUUUUCUCUGUCCAAAACAAUGUCCAUCGUUUCAUCCCAGGGUCAACAGAUAGUUGCUUCCAAGAUUUCUCUAUAUAGCAGGCGCAGAUCAAGGACAUGCUCUUGCAUAGCUCCUGGAAGGAAAAAUAUCUAGCAAAUACAUGCAGAACCAUGACGUGAAGAUAUUAUAUCUUGCAGUCCAUCAGUGGAGUAUUCGUUUGAGAAAUCGAUCGACAAAGUAAUUUGGCGGAGUUGUUGGUUUAAUUAUGGUGUUCCGCGAUAUCUUAUGUCCUAACUCGGUAGCAAAUAAGAUAGAAGAUCAGGUUUGUUCAAUUUAGUAAAUAAACUGUCUGUAUCGGCUGCCUGUCAGACCUGUUUUCUCUUCUCAUGCAGAGAUCCAAAGUGGUGUUUUAAUUCUGACCAGCGAAUCAAUGCAGUGUGUGGUAUGGUGUACUGAAUACUUCUGUGGAAUAUUUACUAUAUAUUCCUCUUAAUGCUUUUCAUGUUGUUUAAAACCAUAUUUCAACCUACUUUUCUGAAAUUAAGCAUCUCUUCUUAUUUUGUUGGAAAGUGGAUAUGUCAUUUUGGAGCAUUACUAGGUUUUCUAACAAGCAAAAUAUUUUUUUCAGUUAACUUUGAUCUGUUCUUUCAAUUUUAUGCUCAUGUAAUGAUCCAAUAGAGAUAUGUGCAUCUUGGAAGAAUAAAUUAUGCUCUGUUCAGAUGGAAUUUCUUCUGAUUAUGCAUUCAGAAUUUCAAUUAGGAGGCACCAUAGCAGCACUUAUUCCAAGCAACAAGGAAGAUCGAAAAAUGAUGCACAAGUUAACCUCUUGGUGAGGACAAUUACUUAAUGGACGGAAAAUAGGUUGUUUAUCUAUAUAGAUGGCGCUACUUGAAAUUAUUAUUUUUGAAGGAGUACAUUCUGUGCAGCCGGAGGCGUACGAGUUCAAGAUCGGCGACCAGUUUUUUCGGAGGCAUAUAUAGUACUGCAUUAUAAAUAAGUGUGCUCGAAGGAGACCAUACGCAAGGCACCUCCUCUUCGGUUGUGAGGGUGUCCAGGGGUCGUGGGUGCGGCUAAUGCCUAUGAUCUAAUGUUGUCGAGGUUGCUGCUGCUGUGACAGAAGAUCAGAAGAAGCUUGGAGAUGCGCGCCAUAGUUUUAGUUGAUGUUGCCACCAAGUUUUGGUGCUUGUGUAUCUGUUUUUGAUUGUAUGUGCACUUGUUGGAUGUGCAAACGUGUAUGUGAAAGCACAAGUGCUCCCUAGGUGGUUUUGAUAAUUGAUGGCAACAUAUCUCUUGUUGGACUAACAUUUCUAUCUAGCAUGUUUCAGAUAAGUUCAACA